rnacentral:tRNA from 1 species
GCGCCCGUAACUCGGCUGGAUAGAGCGUUGCCCUCCGAAGGCAAAGGUCACACGUUCGAAUCGUGUCGGGUGCGCCA